UUCCUAAAAUCACACUUAGUAGGAUUUCUUUUUCAACAAAUUUCAGCACAAAAAUGUACGUAAUUAUUAAGAUACAAUUUUUCAAAGUUGGUUGUUCAAAACUGCCGAGGCAACAGAUCCCUUUGCAUUUAAAAAUUCAUUAAAAAUUUGAUAUAGCUCGGGAAUUAAAGAUUUAAAUUUUUUACUAAACUAAACUUUAGAGUGAAUUCAUUUCAACAAUCUACAUCAAAUUUAAGUAAGAGUUCACCGAGUUAUAGAUUUUUUAAACUGAUGCUCCUACUCUACCAAGGCAAUAGACCCCUGCCAUCUUAAAAACUCGCCAAAAAUUCGUCACAACUUCAAAUCAAGCAUGCCUUGCACCGUUACAAAGUUUUAAAAAAGAAAAUAAAAAGAGAUAGACUGAGCGAGAUAAAACCGAGGCCAUACAAGUUUAAAGAAGAAGAUUUGCAUUCAAAAGAUAAGAGGACAUUUUGCCAUGGCUUCGCCACUAGAAGAUGGAGAGAGAGAAAGAGGGAG
rnacentral:lncRNA from 1 species